CUUUGGUUGCCUAAUCUAAUCGCUAUCUUGCUCUCUGCUCCUCAGCUUAUCUUCUCCGUGAGCUACUCUCUCUCUUCUCAUGAAUGGUUCUGUACUCCCUCUCUAAACUAUGGCACGGUGAAGAAACCCUAUCUUUCUAUAGAGAGGUUACAGAUCCUGUUGUUAAUAUGGGAAUCUGAGUGCAAUUUCUAGUAAUUUUAUCCUAUUUUUUGUUGUUCUUUCAUUUCUGAGAAAGCCAUGUUUAGGUUCUUGCUUUCAAUCGGACAAGGAUUGGCUAAAAACACCUUCACUAUGAAGAUGACUAAGUCUUGAACACCGGAUUGCGACAUGCAAACAGGUAUGUCGUAUGCUUGUGUUCAUUGGAGAAAUCCGAGUGGCAAGAAUGAGCAUUGUUCUUCAGUAUACGCAGGGCUUUAAUCUUGGCAGAGUUUGUAUUGAAUAUUGAGACUUGUUAGUGUUUGUAUUGAAGAGAAUGUGAUGUAUAUAUAGGACUUUAGAUCUGAUUUCUGCACUUCGUUUACUAACAAAAGGUUUCAAACGAUUAGUUGCAAUUAAUUAUCUUGGAAAAAAGAAUCCGGCUAAUGGGUUUAAUUAUGUAAA